AGUGAACGCUGGCGGUAGGCCCAACACAUGCAAGUCGAACGGCAGCACAGUAAGCGCUUGCUCUUACGGGUGGCGAGUGGCGGACGGGUGAGGAAUACAUCGGAAUCUACUUUUUCGUGGGGGAUAACGUAGGGAAACUUACGCUAAUACCGCAUACGACCUACGGGUGAAAGCAGGGGAUCUUCGGACCUUGCGCGAUUGAAUGAGCCGAUGUCGGAUUAGCUAGUUGGCGGGGUAAAGGCCCACCAAGGCGACGAUCCGUAGCUGGUCUGAGAGGAUGAUCAGCCACACUGGAACUGGGACACGGUCCAGACUCCUACGGGAGGCAGCAGUGGGGAAUAUUGGACAAUGGGCGAAAGCCUGAUGCAGCCAUACCGCGUGGGUGAAGAAGGCCUUCGGGUUGUAAAGCCCUUUUGUUGGGAAAGAAAAGCAGCAGGUUAAUACCCCGCUGUUCUGACGGUACCCAAAGAAUAAGCACCGGCUAACUUCGUG
rnacentral:rRNA from 1 species